UGGGGAAUAUUGCACAAUGGGCGCAAGCCUGAUGCAGCCAUGCCGCGUGUAUGAAGAAGGCCUUCGGUUGUUAAAGUACUUUCAGCGGGGAGGAAGGCGAUAAGGUUAAUAACCUUGUCGAUUGACGUUACCGCAGAAGAAGCACCGGCUAACUCCGUGCCAGCAGCCGCGGUAAUACGGAGGGUGCAAGCGUUAAAUCGGAAUUACUGGGCGUAAAGCGCACGCAGGCGGUCUGUCAAGUCGGAUGUGAAAUCCCCGGGCUCAACCUGGGAACUGCAUUCGAAACUGGCAGGCUGGAGUCUUGUAGAGGG
rnacentral:rRNA from 1 species